ensembl:lncRNA
AUGAAAGUGACCCUGAAAGUAAAAACAGAAAAAUCAUUAGGAAAUAUUUCACAUCACAUACUACACACACUUCACAUACUCACAUCAUAUACUACACACACUCACAUCACAUACUACACACACUUCACAUACUCACAUCACACUACACACACUUCACAUACUCACAUCACAUACUACACACACUCACAUCACAUACUACACACACACACACACACACCUCAUACUACACACACUCACACCACAUACUACACACACUCACAUCACACUACACACACUUCACACACUCACAUCACAUACUACACACACACACACACACACAUCAUACUACACACACACACACAUCACAUACUACACACACACACCUCAUACUACACACUGUCAAAUCACAUACUACACACACACACACACACACACACACACACACCACAUACUACACACCACACACUACACAUACUACACACACUCACAUCACACUACACACACUUCACAUACUCACAUCAUAUACUACACACACUCACAUCACAUACUACACACACUACACACCACACACUACACACACACACAUCACAUACUACACACACUCACAUCACAUACUACACACACUCACAUCACAUACUACACACAAUUCACAUACUCACAUCAUAUACUACACACACACACACCUCAUACUACACACACUCACAUCACACCACACACACACCAUACCCACAUCACAUACGCCACACUCUCACACACACACCUCAUACUACACACACUCACAUCACACCACACACACACCAUACCCACAUCACAUACGCCACACUCUCACACACACACCUCAUACUACACACACUCACAUCACACCACACACACACCAUACCCACAUCACAUACGCCACACUCUCACACACACACCUCAUACUACACACACUCACAUCACACCACACACACACCAUACCCACAUCACAUACGCCACACUCUCACACACACACCUCAUACUACACACACUCACACCACAUACUACACACACUCACAUCACACUCUACACACACACCACAUACUACACACACUACACACCACACACUACACACACACACACCACACACUACACACACACACACCACACACUACACACACACACACCACAUACUACACACACUACCCUCACACCACACACUACACACAAUUCACAUACUCACAUAAUAUACUACACACACUCACAUCACACUACACACAUCAUAUACUCCACACACACACACCACACACUACACACAAUACACAUACUCACAUCAUAUACUACACACACACACACCUCAUACUACACACACUCACAUCACACUCCACACACUUCACAUACUCACAUCAUAUACUACACACACUCACAUCACACACUACACACACACACACACACACACACACACUCACACCACACUUCACACACACACAUCACAUACUACACACACACACCUCAUACUACACACUGUCAAAUCACAUACUACACACACACACACACACACACUCACAGCACACUUCACACACUCACAUCACAUACUACACACACUCACAACACACUCUACACACACACACACACACACACACCACAUACUACACACACUACACAUCACACCACACACUACACACACUUCACAUACUCACAUCAUAUACUACACACACUCACAUCACAUACUACACACACACACACACACACACACACACACACACACACACCCACACACACACACACACACACACACACACACACACAGACACACACUCACAUCACACUACACACUUCACAUACUCACACCACAUACUACACACUCUCACACACACACCUCAUACUACACACCCUCACAUCACACUACACACUUCACAUACUCACAUCACCUACUACACACUCUCACACACACACCUCAUACUACACACACUCACAUCACACUACACACUUCACAUACUCACAUCACAUACUACACACUCUCACACACACACCUCAUACUACACACACUCACAUCACAUACUACACACACACACACACACACACACCUCAUACUACACACACUCACAUCACACACCACACACACUCACACCACACUCUACACACACACACACACACACCACACACUACACACACUACACUCACACCACACACAACACACAAUUCACAUACUCACAUAAUAUACUACACACACUCACAUCACACACCUCAUACUCCACACACUCACAUCACACGACCCACACACCACACACUCACAUCACAUACUACACACACCCACAUCACACUCUACACACACACCCACACACACCACAUCCUACACACACUACCCUCACACCACACACUACACACAAUUCACAUACUCACAUCAUAUACCACACACACACACACACACACCUCAUACUACACACACUCACCUCACACUACACACUUCACAUACUCACAUCACCUACUACACACUCUCACACACACACCUCAUACUACACACACUCACAACACACUACACACUUCACAUACUCACCUCACAUACUACACACUCUCACACACACACACACACACACACACACACUCUCUCCCACACACACACACACACACACACACACACGCACCUCACACUACACACACUCACAUCACACUACACACUUCACAUAA